GAGGGUAUAGCUCAAGUGGUAGAGUGCUCUCCUAGCAUGCGUGAAGUCCUGGGUUUGAUCCUCAGUACCUCCA
rnacentral:tRNA from 1 species